GGGCCCAGGGCGACAGCGGAGCCUUCACACCGCUUUCUCCGCGCGCUGAUGGAGGAUUCCUGGCCUCACAGCAGUGCCUGGCCUGUGGGCGUCCCCGGCAGUCCUCGGCUGCGGGACCUGUAUCGGGACUGCGCAAAGUGGGCUUCCAGGAGAGCAGGGCGUCCCUCAGUCAGCUGACCCCUUGGAGCGUGGGGCAGCCCAGGCCCGUGAGGCCGCCAGUGUCACCCUCAGGCCCGCGAGGCCCCCGAGCCCCUUGUGGGGUCCAAGGCCCAUUCUGGAUCAGUCACGAGGCAAGACCGCGGACCCUCAGGAGAUCACCAGGAGCCCGCCGCGCAUUCCUCCGCCUCCACCACGCCAGUCACCUGCUCAGCCCGAGGGCAGCCAGCGGCCGUCGCCCCAGUGAGGCGGCCGGUGAGGAGCUGAGGCCGUGACCAGGGCAGCGCCCCGCGAGUCAGCGUCAGUCCCCGCGCCAGCCAGUUCCUCAGACAAUCAGCUCACCAUUCCCAUCGCGUAUGCUGGGAAAUCAUCAAUAUACCCGCUGUCAUGUUCUCUCAGGAAGCCCCAAAACCUGUGAAACUAACCUGUGCUUGCAGCUCUGCUUGCUGCCAGAAACAAAGGCUGGGAGCCAGCAACAGGAACCAGCCAGGGGAUGAGUUCAGCCCAGACGUGCUGCCUGGACCUGGAUUCCUGCCUCAGUGCAGGCCUUGACCUGAUUUCUUGCUUCAUUACCAUACUAAAAUCUCCACUCAGGGGCGAGAACUAUGCCUUGCUAGGCACAGAAGGUGCCAAGUACAAAAGAAAACACAAGAGUGUGCACACUUCAGCCCCUCCUGAAGGAACCCACCUUUUUCCAGAUCUGCCCGCCUCAGUCUCCAACUACCUGCCCUAAGGGCCCUUAAGAUCCCCUUUUACCAACCCCUGGGAGAAGGUGCUUUGCACAUGAACUCCCUUUCUCCAUUUCUUGAUCAAUGAAUAAAGUUUCUUCUCCGCUUUGCCGAUUCUGGUCUCAUUCUAUUGGCGUAAGUGGCAGGGGGCAGAGAAAGGACCCACUAGGGCCAACUCACCCCUCCAAGGGUGGGUAACAUUUGCAGCAAAACUCCUCAAGAGGUUGUUUGUCGUCACUCUUCCUACCUUCCUUUCUUCGGUUAUUUUCCAAACGAGCUUCCAAUCAAGUCCCCCACCCUUUCACACAUGUUCAUCAAAGCUGCCAUUGCCAGUUAUCUCAGACGUAAACAAAAUCAACUCAAUAUGGAUUAAAGAUGGAAAUGUAAGGCCUGAAACUGUAAAACUCCUUGAAGAAAACAGGAGAAAAAGCUUCUUGACAUUAUCUGGGCUCAGAUUUUUUUAGAUACUGUAAAC
rnacentral:lncRNA from 1 species